rnacentral:lncRNA from 1 species
CACCGAACUUAUUGGCAAAAUUUGUGAUUUACCUCCAGCCCACCCUAGCAGUUACUUUAUGACCAGUCCCUUAUAUCGUCCAUUCAUUGUUCGGCCGAACAAUGCUAAUAUGGGUAGCAAAGUAUUUUUCAGGCCUGUUUUCAACAACAUUGUUACAGGCUAGGCGGUUUUUGCACUGUAAUUACAUUGUCUAUAUAGUGUGACAGGGUUCGUACGGGUCCUGGAAAACCUGGAAAGUCAUGGAAUUUCAAUAUUCCAAAAUCCAGGCCUGGAAAUCCUGGAAAAUCAAUUUUAGUCACGGAAAGUCAUGGAAAAUUGAAAUUUUACAUAACAUUAACAAAAUAUUUUACUUACUGUAUUUCAAUUUACCAGUCAACAAUAAUAUGAAUUGUUGUUAUAUAACGGAUUUUUGCAAGAGCGAAGUGAAUUUUGUUCUUUUAUUAUAUCUGUUAUCGCCCAAAGUAUUGACGAAUUUCGGAAAUUCCAGACUUCCAGGUCAUGGAUUUUGAAAAAAAUGGUCAUGGAAAGUCAUGGAAUUUUGAAUGGGAAAAGGUGUACGAACCCUGGUGUGAGCAACACUUAUAGUAGGUACUUUAUGUAGCCUGGAACCAUAGAUAUAGACUGACGUCCAAUAGCGGCUACAAUUUCCGCCAUCUUGGCAAGGAGUGUGCCGAAAUUUGAUAUUUUGACAUCGAUUUAAAGAAUAACACUAUGGUUUUAUGAAUUACUGAUAACUUGGUUAGCGAUACGUUCCGUUAGAAAAAACUGGAUUAGCUGGGGAAAAUAGUAUAAAAGCUGUUUACGACCUUCAGAGCUAUUGGACAUCAAUGGCCGCCAUCUUGGCUUCUUUUCUCAUAGGCCGAAUGACUGAAGUUGCUGCUUCAGAUAUGUACUGUCACAGAAUAAAGACAUACAGAAGUGUAACUUCCAUUACAAAACCGUAAGGCGCUUUUUUACCGAAAUAGCUGGCGGCCAUGUUCUUAGCAAGUGCCCUAAAGAGAGGCGUUCACCCCCCUGGAAUAUUAAAUUUUCAAUAUGUUUUCAGGGGGUGACUGCCUCUCUUCAGGGCACUUGUUAGGAACAUGGCGGACUGAAAAAAUCCCUUACGCACUUUUAAUAAGAAGAUACGCUUCUGUAUGUCUUUAUUCUGUG